rnacentral:rRNA from 1 species
CGUGGAACACGCUCUCCCUUCGGGGUCUGUGCACAGGUGCUGCAUGGCUGUCGUCAGCUCGUGUCGUGAGAUGUUGGGUUAAGUCCCGCAACGAGCGCAACCCUUGCCUCUAGUUGCUCGGCUGUAAUGGUCAGCACUCUAGAUGGGACUGCCGGUGAUAAACCGGAGGAAGGUGGGGAUGACGUCAAGUCAUCAUGGCCUUUAUGUCCAGGGCUACACACGUGCUACAAUGGACGGUACAAAGGGUCGCCAAACCGCAAGGUGGAGCCAAUCCCGAUAAAACCGCCCUCAGUUCGGAUUGCAGUCUGCAACUCGACUGCAUGAAGGUGGAAUCGCUAGUAAUCGCGGAUCAGCAUGCCGCGGUGAAUACGUUUCCGGGCCUUGUACACACCGCCCGUCACACCACGAAAGUGGAUUGUACCCGAAGUCGCCAGGCUAACCCGCGAGGGGAGCAGGUGCCCAAGGUAUGAUUCAUGAUUGGGGUGAAGUCGUAACAAGGUAACCGU